UCUCCGUAGGUGAACCCGCGGAGGGAUCAUUACAGAGUUCAUGCCCUACCGGGUAGAUCUCCCACCCUAUGUUAUUAUUACUUCGUUGCUUUGGCGGGCCGUUAGGCUCCGGCCCGACUACCGGCCCCGGCUGGUAAGCGCCCGCCAGAGGACCCAAAACCCUGAAUAUUAGUGUCGUCUGAGUACUAUAUAAUAGUUAAAACUUUCAACAACGGAUCUCUUGGUUCUG
rnacentral:misc_RNA from 1 species